rnacentral:rRNA from 1 species
AGCAUGUGGUUUAAUUCGAAGCAACGCGAAGAACCUUACCAGGUCUUGACAUCCCUGACAACCCGAGAGAUCGGACGUCCCCUUCGGGGGACAGGGUGACAGGUGGUGCAUGGUUGUCGUCAGCUCGUGUCGUGAGAUGUUGGGUUAAGUCCCGCAACGAGCGCAACCCUCGACCUUAGUUGCCAGCAUUCAGUUGGGCACUCUAAGGUGACUGCCGGCUAAAAGUCGGAGGAAGUGGGGAUGACGUCAAAUCAUCAUGCCCCUUAUGACCUGGGCUACACACGUGCUACAAUGGGCGGUACAAAGGGUCGCGAACCCGCGAGGGGGAGCCAAUCCCAAAAAGCCGCUCUCAGUUCAGAUUGCACUCUGCAACUCGAGUGCAUGAAGUUGGAAUCGCUAGUAAUCGUGGAUCAGCAUGCCACGGUGAAUACGUUCCCGGGUCUU